rnacentral:miRNA from 1 species
AAGAUGAUGGAAAAGCUGAACGAA